rnacentral:rRNA from 1 species
UUAUACAGCGAAACUGCGAAUGGCUCAUUAUAUAAGUUAUCGUUUAUUUGAUAGUACCUUACUACUUGGAUAACCGUGGUAAUUCUAGAGCUAAUACAUGCUAAAAAUCCCGACUCACGGAGGGAUGUAUUUAUUAGAUUAAAAACCAAUGCCCUCUGGGCUCCUUGGUGAUUCAUGAUAACUUCUCGAAUCGCACGGCCUUGCGCCGGCGAUGGCUCAUUCAAAUUUCUUCCCUAUCAACUUUCGAUGUUUGGGUAUUGGCCAAACAUGGUCGCAACGGGUAACGGAGGGUUAGGGCUCGACCCCGGAGAAGGAGCCUGAGAAACGGCUACUACAUCCAAGGAAGGCAGCAGGCGCGCAAAUUACCCAAUCCCGAUUCGGGGAGGUAGUGACAAUAAAUACUGAUACAGGGCUCUUUUGGGUCUUGUAAUUGGAAUGAGUACAAUUUAAAUCUCUUAACGAGGAACAAUUGGAGGGCAAGUCUGGUGCCAGCAGCCGCGGUAAUUCCAGCUCCAAUAGCGUAUAUUAAAGUUGUUGUGGUUAAAAAGCUCGUAGUUGAACCUUGGGCCUGGCCGACCGGUCCGUCUCACCACGUUGACUGGUCCGGCUGGGCCUUUCCCUCUGUGGAACCCCAUGCCCUUCACUGGGUGUGGCGGGGAAACAGGACUUUUACUUUGAAAAAAUUAGAGUGCUCCAGGCAGGCCUAUGCUCGAAUACAUUAGCAUGGAAUAAUGAAAUAGGACGCGUGGUUCUAUUUUGUUGGUUUCUAGGACCGCCGUAAUGAUGAAUAGGGACAGUCGGGGGCAUCAGUAUUCAAUUGUCAGAGGUGAAAUUCUUGGAUUUAUUGAAGACUAACUACUGCGAAAGCAUUUGCCAAGGAUGUUUUCAUUAAUCAGGAACGAAAGUUAGGGGAUCGAAGACGAUCAGAUACCGUCGUAGUCUUAACCAUAAACUAUGCCGACUAGGGAUCGGACGAUGUUAUUUUUUGACGCGUUCGGCACCUUACGAGAAAUCAAAGUGC